rnacentral:rRNA from 1 species
AUACAGAGGGUGCGAGCGUUAAUCGGAAUUACUGGGCGUAAAGCGCGCGUAGGCGGCUACUUAAGUCAGAUGUGAAAUCCCCGGGCUCAACCUGGGAACUGCAUCUGAUACUGGGUAGCUAGAGUUUUGGAGAGGGAAGUAGAAUUUCAGGUGUAGCGGUGAAAUGCAUAGAGAUCUGAAGGCAUACCCGUGGCGAAGGCGACUUCCUGGCCAAAAACUGACGCUGAGGUGCGAAAGCGUGGGUAGCAAACGGGAUUAGAAACCCUAGUAGUCC